rnacentral:rRNA from 1 species
GGAUCCAGACUUUGAUCAUGGCUCAGGAUGAACGCUAGCUACAGGCUUAACACAUGCAAGUCGAGGGGCAGCGGGAUUGAAGCUUGCUUCAAUUGCCGGCGACCGGCGCACGGGUGAGUAACGCGUAUCCAACCUUCCGUACACUCAGGGAUAGCCUUUCGAAAGAAAGAUUAAUACCUGAUAGUAUCUUAAGCACACAUGUAAUUAAGAUUAAAGAUUUAUCGGUGUACGAUGGGGAUGCGUUCCAUUAGGUAGUAGGCGGGGUAACGGCCCACCUAGCCAACGAUGGAUAGGGGUUCUGAGAGGAAGGUCCCCCACAUUGGAACUGAGACACGGUCCAAACUCCUACGGGAGGCAGCAGUGAGGAAUAUUGGUCAAUGGACGAGAGUCUGAACCAGCCAAGUAGCGUGAAGGAUGAAGGUCCUACGGAUUGUAAACUUCUUUUAUAAGGGAAUAAACCCUCCCACGUGUGGGAGCUUGUAUGUACCUUAUGAAUAAGCAUCGGCUAACUCCGUGCCAGCAGCCGCGGUAAUACGGAGGAUGCGAGCGUUAUCCGGAUUUAUUGGGUUUAAAGGGAGCGCAGACGGGUCGUUAAGUCAGCUGUGAAAGUUUGGGGCUCAACCUUAAAAUUGCAGUUGAUACUGGCGUCCUUGAGUGCGGUUGAGGUGUGCGGAAUUCGUGGUGUAGCGGUGAAAUGCUUAGAUAUCACGAAGAACUCCGAUUGCGAAGGCAGCACACUAAUCCGUAACUGACGUUCAUGCUCGAAAGUGUGGGUAUCAAACAGGAUUAGAUACCCUGGUAGUCCACACGGUAAACGAUGGAUACUCGCUGUUGGCGAUAUACUGUCAGCGGCUUAGCGAGAGCGUUAAGUAUCCCACCGGGGGAGUACGCCGGCAACGGUGCAACUCAAAGGAAUUGACG